rnacentral:rRNA from 1 species
AACAAACGCUGGCGGCGUGCCUAAUACACGCAAGUCGAACGGGGAAAGCUUUCGGGUGAGUACUAGUGGCGCACGGGUGAGUAACGCGUGGAUAAUCUGCCUUAGAGUGGGGGAUAACUAGUCGAAAGACUAGCUAAUACCGCAUAAGACCACAAGAACUGCGGUUCAAGGGGUCAAAGGUUUUUCGCUCUAAGAUGAGUCCGCGUAAGAUUAGCUAGUUGGUGAGGUAAUGGCUCACCAAGGCGACGAUCUUUAACUGGUCUGAGAGGAUGAUCAGUCACACUGGAACUGAGACACGGUCCAGACUCCUACGGGAGGCAGCAGUAGGGAAUAUUGCACAAUGGAGGAAACUCUGAUGCAGCGACGCCGCGUGAGUGAUGAAGGCCUUCGGGUCGUAAAGCUCUGUCGCAAGGGAAUAACACAAUGAAUGUACCUUGCAAGAAAGGAUCGGCUAACUUCGUGCCAGCAGCCGCGGUAAUAC